UACAGAGGGUGCGAGCGUUGUCCGGAAUCACUGGGCGUAAAGGGCGCGUAGGUGGCUUGGUAAGCGUGUGGUGAAAGUCCGGGGCUCAACCCCGGAUCGGCCAUGCGAACUGCCCGGCUGGAGCACGGUAGAGGCCAAUGGAAUUCCGGGUGUAGCGGUGGAAUGCGUAGAGAUCCGGAAGAACACCGGUGGCGAAGGCGGUUGGCUGGGCCGUUGCUGACACUGAGGCGCGACAGCGUGGGGAGCAAACAGG
rnacentral:rRNA from 1 species